AUCCAUGUAGCGCAAUGGAUAGCGCGUUGGACUUCUAAUCCAAAGGUCGUGCGUUCGAAUCGCACUAGAGAUG